UACAGAGGGUGCAAGCGUUUGUUCGGAAUUAUUGGGCGUAAAGCGCGUGUAGGCAGCUUUGCAAGUCGGGUGUGAAAGCCCUCAGCUCAACUGGGGAAGUGCGCCCGAUACUGGCAGGCUUGAGGGAGGUAGGGGUCUGCGGAACUUCUGGUGGAGCGGUGAAAUGCGUAGAUAUCUGGAGGAACACCGGUGGCGAAGGCGGCAUCCUGGACCGGUAUUGACGCUGAUGCGCGAAAGCCAGGGGAGCAAACGGGG
rnacentral:rRNA from 1 species